CGGGGGAGCAAGCGUUGUUCGGAUUACUGGGCGUAAAGGGCGCGUAGGCGGCCACCGCAAGUCGACUGUGAAAUCUCCGGGCUUAACCCGGAAAGGUCAGCCGAUACUGCGGGGCUAGAGUGCAGAAGGGGCAACUGGAAUUCUCGGUGUAGCGGUGAAAUGCGUAGAUAUCGAGAGGAACACCUGCGGCGAAGGCGGGUUGCUGGGCUGACACUGACGCUGAUGCGCGAAAGCUAGGGGAGCGAACGGGAUUAGAUACCCCGGUAGUCCUAGCCUUAAACGAUGAAUGCUUGGUGUCUGGGGUUUUAUAGUCCCCGGGUGCCGUCGCUAACGCUUUAAGCAUUCCGCCUGGGGAGUACGGUCGCAAGACUG
rnacentral:rRNA from 1 species